rnacentral:tRNA from 1 species
GGGGUAUGAGCAUAAGGCUGUGCAUUGUGAUUGCAGAUCAUAUAGUUAAGGUUCGACUCCUUCAUAUCUCU